UCUUAAUAUUUUAAAAAUUUAAAAUUUAAAAUUUAAAAUUUAAAAGUUAAAAAUUAAAAAUUAAAAAAUAAAAAUAAAAAUUAAAAAUUAAAAUUUAAAAUAAUUAUAAAUUUUAAAAUAUAAAAUUUUAAUAUUUAAAAAUGUAAAUUUAAAUUUAAAUUUUAAAAUUUAAAUUUUAAAUAUAAAAUUUAUAUUUAAAAAUAUAAAUAAUUAUGAAAUUAAAAAUAUAAAAUUUUAAUAUUUAAAAAUAUAUAUUUAAAUUUAAAAUUUAAAAUUUAAAAUUUAAAAUUUAAAAUAAUUAUGAAAUUUAAAAUAUAAAAUUUAAAAUUUGAAUAUUUAAAAUUUUUCUUUUAAAAUUUUAAAAAUUUAAAAUUUAUAAUUUGUAGAUUAAAACUUGUAAUUUAAAAUUUAAAUUUUUAAAUUUUUAAAUUUUUAAAUUUUAAAUUAAAAUCUAAAAUUUCAAAUUUUAAAUUUUAUCUUAAAUUUGAAAUUUGAAAUUUGAAAUUUAAAAAUUUAAAAUCUAAAAUUUGAUAUUUGAAAAUUAAAAUUAAAAUUAAAAUUUUAAAGUUUGAAAUUUAUUUUUCAAAAUUUAAAAUUAAAAAAUUAAAAAAUAAAUCUAAAAAUUAAAAUUUUAAAUUAAAUUUAAAUAUAAAUAUUGAAUUUAAAAUAAAAAUAGAAAUUUAAAGUUUGAGUUCAAAAUUAGAAUCAGAUUUCAAGAAGCAAUUUUUUUUCUGCUUCUGAUUCUGGAGCCUUCAAAAUCAGUUUUCUAAUUCUGAGAAGCAGAAUCAGAUUUUAAAAAUGAAAUUACCAACCGUUCUAUUAAACCGAAAAUUAUUUUUUAACUAAAAAGUGUUUUUUAAAAGAUAGGCCAAACACCCC
rnacentral:lncRNA from 1 species